AUACCUACGGGGGGCAGCAGUGGGGAAUAUUGCACAAUGGGGGGAACCCUGAUGCGGCGACGCCGCGUGAGUGGAGAAGUAUUUCGGUAUGUAAAGCUCUAUCAGCAGGGAAGAAAAUGACGGUACCUGACUAAGAAGCCCCGGCUAACUACGUGCCAGCAGCCGCGGUGAUACGUAGGGGGCAAGCGUUAUCCGGAAUUACUGGGUGUAAAGGGAGCGUAGACGGCAAUGCAAGUCCGGAGUGGAAUGCGACAGCUCAACUGCCGAACUGCUCUGGAAACUGCAUGGCUUGAGUGCAGGAGGGG
rnacentral:rRNA from 1 species